rnacentral:tRNA from 1 species
UCAGAAGGUAGUUUAUAAAAAUACCGGUUUUGGGGGCUGGUGAUGGGAAGUAAGUUCCCCUUUCUGA